UGGGGAAUAUUGCACAAUGGGCGAAAGCCUGAUGCAGCCAUGCCGCGUGUAUGAAGAAGGCCUUCGGGUUGUAAAGUACUUUCAGUUGUGAGGAAGGUUUCGUAGUUAAUAACUGCGUUGCUUGACGUUAGCAACAGAAGAAGCACCGGCUAACUCCGUGCCAGCAGCCGCGGUAAUACGGAGGGUGCGAGCGUUAAUCGGAAUUACUGGGCGUAAAGCGCAUGCAGGUGGUUUGUUAAGUCAGAUGUGAAAGCCCGGGGCUCAACCUCGGAAGGUCAUUUGAAACUGGCAAACUAGAGUACUGUAGAGGGGGGUAGAAUUUCAGGUGUAGCGGUGAAAUGCGUAGAGAUCUGAAGGAAUACCAGUGGCGAAGGCGGCCCCCUGGACAGAUACUGACACUCAGAUGCGAAAGCGUGGGGAGCAAACAGG
rnacentral:rRNA from 1 species